CAGAACUAACCCAGAAAAAGCCUGACCUCACCUCCUCACAACCCACAAAUGAAUCACACGGAUCACACCUGAUGUGAUGUAGUAUAAACAGAAGAAAUAAUGAUACAAAACACAUUUCACUAUUUUCAAAACAUCUUAAUUUAUACCAGCCGUUCUGUCUGGCAACAAUACAAGAAAUUUACUGCUGGGCCUUUUAGGUACACUGAAGCUUAUUGGUAACUGUUACAAUAAAUCCUUGAGGGAUUCUACCAUAUACACAGAUGAAAGGGAGAGAGAUCAGCUUUAGAUGAAGAUGGGAUUCCUGUGGUGAGGCUCAUUUUGCUAUUGCCAUUUCAGCUCAGCUUGUCUGCCGUGCCUCAGUGACCCGUGUCUUUCUAGGGUCAUCCACAAAAAGUCAGUCAUUUCCUCUAUAUCAACAAGGGGACUGUGUACAUGUCAUGAAUUUCAUGACGAAGAUAGGUCUGUACGGUACGUUGACUUUCUCACUAUAUAGAUAUUUUGACUCAUAAAUAUUCGAAGAAGAUGAAGUCAGAGCCAUAGAUGUUGGGACAGUGGUUUAUUUUUUUUGUGCAAUUGCAACUAGACUUUCAGUUUUAAUUCACGAGGUUUGGCAAAAAUAUUGCAUUAAAUGUUUAAGAUUUAGUCUUUUUUUUUUUUUUUUUUUUAAACUUGUUUUACACAGUCUUUCAAUUCAAACAGCUAGUUGUUGUAUUUGUAGCAUUCCAUACAUGCCGCCAACAAGAAAGUUGCAGAGUGCCCUCUGGUUAACAACUAUGUAACAUCAACACUCAUAACACAGUUGAAGGGUGUUUUUUCUAGCGCUUCUUUACUUUUUAAAUUUUAAUUUAUUAGCCAUUAUCAGCCACCUGAAAUACCCACACCACUAAAUUAGCAAAUAACUAAUAUCAGGCUCUACAGAUGACUGAUCAGACAUUUAAAAAAAACAAAACAACAACAACACAAAAAAUCCAUUCAAAUGUGUUGCUUAAAGAUGCUCUUGGAUUGUUUUCCAUGGCCCGUUACUAAUGUGUACUACUGUGAUGCACCAUCCUAUCAGUUUGCAGCAUCUGCCUAAAUCUAAGGAGGCCGUAUAUUUCUAUAUGCUGCUUUUUUAGUCACAUCAUCAAUAAACAACAAUGCCCCAGUUUAACUGAGAGCUAUACAUGGCUAUGCUAUUAUAUUGCCUCCAUCAUUUUUAAACAGGCUAGUGUGUAAGCCUUUGCAUUAUGAGACACUAUUUUCCUUUUCCAUACUUUCCUUUUGCCAUCAUUUAGAACAAUUUAAUCUUGGUUUCAUCCAUCAGUAUAGGGGACACAUUUUUCAGAUGUUUACUAGCAAAGACUAAGCUGCCUGUGUAUUUACUUAAUGAAGAUAGAAUUGUAGACGUUUGCUAAAAGCCUAAUAGGUAUCCCUAAGAAAGAGAUUCAAUGAUCAUCCACUUUUGUUUUCUUAUUAUUAAGACAAGAUUAUGAAGUUAUCUGGACAUUUUUUGUUGUUAUCAGUACUUUUUUUAAAGAAUGGACCAAAUUUUUUAUUUUGCCAAUACUCAGGUUUUUUUUUAUUUUUUACUAAUUCUAUGACUGGUCUCAUUUGCUUUAGUUAUUCAUCAUGUCUUUGGAUGACCUACUGAAUGACUGUCCACACAUAGGAAGCGACUAGCAGUAAUGUAGGAGCUGAGACCUAGAAAUCAACAGCAUUCAACAAUGUCAAGUGACUACAAGCAAAAUAACCACUGGCGAAGCAAAGUAGGAAUGUCAUGAGUUUUCCUUUUCUCAACUUAGAAGCAAGCGAUUGAAGCAACUACCGAUGAGAUCGAAGGAUACAGCACUGCUACAAUUUUAUGACUGUCACUGACAUUCCAUCUUUUUAGGUCACAAUACCGCUGCAAAUCUCUUCCUGUCUUGACCCCAGUUCAAUCAGUCAUUCAUUAAUCCGUUUAUUGUGUUAGUAUACAGAAGCAAAAUUGCAGGACAUCUGUCACUGUCCAAAUACCUGACUGUAGGAUGAGACAAGAGGUUUGUUUAGAGAAAGGAGUUUUGGGCCAUAUCACCCUGUUGUGGUUGGAGGCUAAACUAAAUUCACACCACUGUAAAUGAAACAUCACAUCUUUCAGGAAAGGUAUGCAUUGAUCACCAGUGUUUUUCAAGUUACUUGAAAAAAGUAAUCAGUAAC
ensembl:lncRNA